UUGUUAAAUGCUUUUGACUUCAAGAUUUAAAGCUUUUCUGUUUGCUGGACUGACAUGAAGUCUGGAUAGUUUGAAAAGCCGACCUGCACCGGCCUCCAGAAUCAGAUCAUCAACACAGGGCUUGGAGUUGAGUCAAAAGCUGCAAUCCUGCACAGCCACAGACAAAAGCACCAAGAUUUACUGAAGACU